rnacentral:rRNA from 1 species
UACGGGGGGGGCAAGCGUUGUUCGGAAUUACUGGGCGUAAAGGGCGCGUAGGCGGCCUACUAAGUCAGACGUGAAAUCCCCCGGCUUAACCUGGGAACUGCGUCUGAUACUGGAAGGCUUGAGGAUGGGAGAGGGAUGUAGAAUUCCAGGUGUAGCGGUGAAAUGCGUAGAUAUCUGGAGGAACACCGGUGGCGAAGGCGGCAUCCUGGACCGGUAUUGACGCUGAUGCGCGAAAGCCAGGGGAGCAAACGGG